CCUACGGGUGACAGCAGUGGGGGAUAUUGGACAAUGGGGGUAACCCUGAUCCAGCGACGCAGCGUGCAUGAAGAAGUAUCUCGGUAUGUAAAGCUCUAUCAACAGGGAGGAAGAAAUGACGGUACCUGAGUAAGAAUCGCCGGUCAACUACGUGCCAGCAGCCGCUGUAAUACGUAGGGGGCAAGCGUUAUCCGAAAUCACUGGGUGUACAGGUAGCGUUGGCGGUAAUGUAAGACUGGAGGGAAAGGCGGGGGCCCAACCCCCGGCCUGCUCUGGAAACUAGGUGACUGGAGUGCAGGGGAGGUGAGCGGAAUUCGUAGUGUAGCGGUGAAAUGCGUAGAUAUUAGGAAGAACACCAGUGGCGAAGGCGGCUCACUGGACUGUAACUGACGUUGAGGCUCGAAGGCGUGGGGAGCAAACAGGAUUAGAUACCCCUGUAGUC
rnacentral:rRNA from 1 species